rnacentral:misc_RNA from 1 species
AACGCACAUUGCGCCUGCUAGCAUUCUGGCAGGCAUGCCUGUCCGAGCGUCAUUUCCACCCUCACGCUCCGCGUGGUGUUGAGGCCCUCUCGCAACGAGAGGCCCCGAAAGCAAGUGGCGGACCGCCUGGUUUGGCUCCGAGCGCAGCAAUUUACUCUCGCUCUGGACGGCCAGCGGCCCUGCCGUAAAAGCAGUCUUGCAGUCUUCUGCAGACAACACACCUAAGGUUGACCUCGGAUCAGGUAGGACUACCCGCUGAACUUAA